UACGUAGGGCGCAAGCGUUGUCCGGAAUUAUUGGGCGUAAAGAGCUCGUAGGCGGUUUGUCGCGUCUGCUGUGAAAGUCCGAGGCUCAACCUCGGAUCUGCAGUGGGUACGGGCAGACUAGAGUGUGGUAGGGGAGACUGGAAUUCCUGGUGUAGCGGUGGAAUGCGCAGAUAUCAGGAGGAACACCAAUGGCGAAGGCAGGUCUCUGGGCCACAACUGACGCUGAGGAGCGAAAGCGUGGGUAGCGAACAGG
rnacentral:rRNA from 1 species